rnacentral:misc_RNA from 1 species
GUAUUUGACCUUGGUGGUGGCACUUUCGAUGUUUCGGUCCUUGAGGUUGGAGAUGGAGUAUUUGAAGUACUUUCCACCUCAGGCGAUACGCAUUUAGGGGGUGAUGACUUUGACAAGAGAAUUGUGGAUUGGCUUGCUGAAAGCUUUAAGAGAGAUGAAGAUGUGGAUCUUCUGAAAGAUAAACAAGCUCUUCAGCGUCUAACAGAGGCAGCCGAGAAAGCAAAGAUUGAGUUGUCAUCUUUGACUCAGACCAAUAUCACUUUCCCUUUCAUUACUGCUACUGCAGAUGGCCC